rnacentral:rRNA from 1 species
AUUGAACGCUGGCGGCAAGCCUAACACAUGCAAGUCGAACGGGUGGCGGACUGGUGAGUAGUGUAUGGGCAACUGCCUGAUCGAGGGAGAUAACUACUGGAAACGUUAGAUAAUACCGCAUACCAUCGGAUGUGCCCAGAUGGGAUUAGCUAGUAGGUGGGGUAAAGGCUCACCUAGGCGACGAUCCCUAGCUGGUCUGAGAGGAUGACCAGCCAAACUGGAACUGAGACACGGGCCAGACUCCUACGGGAGGCAGCAGUGGGGAAUAUUGGACAAUGGGCGAAAGCCUGAUGCAGCCAUGCCGCGUGUAUGAAGAAGGCUUUCGGGUUGUAAAGCACUUUCAGCGGGGAGGCGUUACCCGAAGAAGAAGCACCGGCUAACUCCGUGCCAGCAGCCGCGGUAAUAC